GCAAAUCUACAUACACACAUCACAUACAAGCACACAGACGGAUUCCAGUAAGCAUUGGAAAAAGCGUUCACAAAGUUGGAUGUUUUCCUUCCAUUUUCUGCUU
rnacentral:ribozyme from 11 species